UUUCGGAGCCAGAUCUUCGCUCCGCGUUCUUUGAACCAGGAGAGGAAAGUCCGGACACCACAGGGCAGGAUUCCCACCGAAAGAGGGGGCGCGGCGCUUCAAGGCGCCGUGACGGACAGUGUCACAGAGAAUAGACCGCCCGGUUCGACUCGCCGCAAGGCGGCUCGCUCAGGGUAAGGGUGAAAAGGUGGGGUAAGAGCCCACCGCGCCGAAGGCAACGACGGCGGCACGAAAAACCCAAUCCGGUGCAAGACUAAAUAGGGGACUCGGCGGCCCGUCGGACAGUCCCGGGUUAGUCGCAUUCCGCGGCGCUGGCGCAAGCCGGCAGCCCGGAAAGGUGCGCCUUCGGGCGCGCCUAGAGAAAUGAAGAUCCGCCGUCGCUCAAUACGGCGGCUGACAGAAUCCGGCUUACCGGCUUCGGAACUAG
rnacentral:RNase_P_RNA from 1 species